UAGAGUUUGAUCCUGGCUCAGGAUGAACGCUGGCGACAGGCUUAACACAUGCAAGUCGAGGGGCACCGGUGGUGAAAGCUCGUCUUAACCAACAGACGACCACUUCACGGGGGACUAACAAGUAUGCCACCUGCCUGCCGCCUCCGGAUAGGCGAGAAAAAUUCCAUCUAAUAGCGAAUACUGCAUCGAACGCACAUCCUGUUGGGGCCAAAGGUUAAUUCCGGGGGGGGAUGGGAUGGCCUCGCAUCAGAUAAUUGGCGGGGUGGCGGACCACCCAAACGACCAUACGAACGGGAUCUGACAGGAAAGGCCCCCCCGCCGCUACGGAAACGAGAACCAGACUCCUACGGGAGGCAGCAGUGUGGAAUAUUGGUCAAUGGGCGGGAGCCUGAACCAGUCAAGUCGCGUGAGGGAUGACGGCCCUAUGGGUUGUAAGCCUUUUUUGCCGGGGAGCAAAGUGCUGCACGUGUGCGGUUUGGAGAGUACCCGGAGAAAAAGCAUCGGCUAACUCCGUGCCAGCAGCCGCGGUAAUACGGAGGAUGCGAGCGUUAUCCGGAUUUAUUGGGUUUAAAGGGUGCGUAGGCGGAGCGUUAAGUCAGUGGUCAAAUUGAGGGGCUCAACCCCUUCCCGCCAUUGAAACUGGCGUUAUUGAGUGGAAGAGAAGUCUGCGGAAUGUGUGGUGUUGCGGUGAAAUGCAUAGAUAUUAAGCAGAACCCCGAUUGGGAAGGCAGCCUGCCGGGUUUGUAAUGACGGUGAGGCUCGAAAGCGUGGGGAGCGAACAGGAUUAGAUACCCUGGUAGUCCACGCCGUAAACGAUGAGCGCUAGGUGUGCGGGGGGGCAAGGCCCCUGGGUGCGACACAGAAAGAGUUAAGAUUUCCACUUGGGGGGUAGGUCGCCAGAGGGGAAUCUCAAAGAAAUGAAGGGGGGCCGCACCAACCGGAGGCACAGGUGGUUUAAUUGGAUGAUAGGCGAGGACCUUUCCCCGCGCUCACAUCCCCGCAGGAAGGAGGUCUGAACGGAAGGCCCUUUACGGACUGGCAGACAGGUGGUGCAUGGUUGUCGUCAGCUCGUGUCGUGAGGUGUCGGGUCAAGUGCCACAACGAGCGCAACCCCUACUGCCAGUUGCCAACAGGCAAAGUUGGGGACUCUGGCGGGACUGCCGGCGCCAGCCCCGAGGAAGGCGGGGAUGACGUCAAAUCAUCACGCCCCUUACGUCCGGGGCGACACACGUGUUACAAUGGGGGGUACAAAGGGAAGCCAGGCGGCGACGCUGAGCGGAACUCGAAAACAAUUUUCCGUUUGGAUCGGAGUUUGCAACCUGACUCCCAGAAGGUGGGUUUGGUUGUUAUUGGGCAUCCGCCAUGGCGCGGUGAAUACGUUCCCGGGCCUUGCACACACCGCCCGU
rnacentral:rRNA from 1 species